GGGGGUCUGCUCUCAGACCACGCACCAAACAGUGCUGAUGAGAGUUGAGGAAAGCUGGGUGAGCUGUAGAAAUGGGUGCACCUGAGAAGUUAUUUCCAAACCUGGGCGCCUAUUAAUUAGGCUCUGGGAGCUCUUUAAAAGUGCAGAUUCCUAUUAAACUUGAGUCUCGUCUCUUCAGUCUCCUUCUUGCACACUCCCCUAUUGCCACUAGUCUCCUUUUUUGAUCACACUGAGCACAUUCCUGCCUCAGGGCCUUUGGGCUUUCUCUUCGGAACUCUCUUCACAGAUAUCCACACUGCCUUGCUUUACCACCUUCAGGUUUCUGCUCUGAUGGAUAUUAUCUCGAGAGGUGAAGACACUGCUAACAUAGAAGCCCUCCAUCUGUCCGCUUUUGUCAUUAGGUCUUUCUUCUUACAUUAUGGAUUUACUAUUUCUGGUCAGUUUUUCCUCCUAAACAGUGAACUCUGCGAGGGCAGAGCUUUUUGUCAGCUUGGGUUGCAGCUUUAUCCUCAGAGACGGAGAGGAGCUUCACAGACCAAGCACUACGGCAGUGUCUCCUGAAUCAGUGAAUGAAGAUGGGUCCGAGUCCAGGAAGGCUUGUUCUGAAACAAUGGUUCUGAAAGUGUGGUCCCUGGACCAGCAGCUUCUGCAUUGCUUGAGAAGUUCUGAGAAGUGCAAAUUCCUUGGCUUGACACCAGUCCUGCUACAUCGGAAACUGGGAGGCAGCCACGAGUGUUUCUGCAGGCCUCCAGGUGCUGUGGGUUGGAAAGCUGGCUUGUCCUGUGGCCCUCACCAUCUAAGAACUCAGCGCACACCUCUGGGCCGGCUGACUCUGCGAUGGUGGAAGAAGGAAUUGAACUUCUGCUUUUAAAUGAAAAUAUGUAUGUUAAGCUGCUAAUAUGGAUCCACUUCUGUCACAUAAGUCCCCAAUGAAUGUGACUUUUCUUCUCCCCUCCCACUCAGGAUGCUCCUAAACAGUGACAAUAAACCAGCAAAGCUUC